UCGUUUUCACAGCACUGUCCACUAUUGUCCUCUAUUUGUGAAGACAGCCCAGUACACAGUGGAGGUCAAACCCUGCAUUGUUGUCAAAUAAAAACACAGGGACUUCAACACUGCCCAAAUACCAUGUUUACACCUAACUGAAAUCCUAUAGCCUGAAGAUAAAUCCAGGCUGUGAAUGGACAGGACAUGUGCUACCUAUCAGCUGGCCCCUCACACUGCGCCACUAGAUGCAGGGUCACAGUUACUGCACCCUCUGACCACUAGCUGACCAAUGGAAAGCCAUCAACAUUUGUUAGAGUUUAAUUCGGUAUUUUGCACUUUGCCACCAACUACUCACUGAUGAUAUCUUUAACAAAUUUUAAGUAAGAAGCCUCGACUUUUUAAUCAAUUUAUAUUUAAUUGCAAACUAUCAUAGUCUUAAAUUGCUCCAAAAUAGCUUGUGUAAAUCUUAAUAGAUACUUGAAAGUGUCAGAGAGAAUUUAGUUAAAUAAAGACAACUGAGGAUAAUUACAACAUUAGGAGCCAGUCUUAAUUUACUGUAUAUAAAUCUUUAAUACCUUAAACCCCUGUGUCAUGACAAAAGUUUAAACACUGCUAGAAUCCUGUUUUGACUUGACUGAUAAUGGAAAACACUGUUUUAAAAUUGUUGCAAUGCCUGAGUGACAUCAACAGCAAUAACUGUCUAGUUUCAGUGUAUGCUAAUGGUCAGACAGGAAUUCAAAGCAACAAAUACACCAAAUACCACUCUCUACAGGGACAGGCUGUGCAGACACAUUCAAGAAUACGACAGCCUUCUUACCGCGACUAAGAGAGGAAGCGGAGGAAAUGGAAGCGGAAUCAAUGGAGUACGUGGCAUCUAGGAAUAUAACGAAAUUGUCAGGGGGGUGAAGCCUACCUUCCACCAGAAGCUGACAGGUGCUUGUUAUCUCCCCUUCUAUGUUGACGGCCUUACAGCUGUAGUGGCCCUCAUCCUCGGGGAAUACCUCGGUGAUGGUCAGUGUGCUCUUGUCUGCAAUGUUAC